GGGCGUAGAGGGCUCGCAGGCGGUUUCUUAAGUCUGAUGUGAAAGCCCCCGGCUCAACCGGGGAGGGUCAUUGGAAACUGGGAAACUUGAGUGCAGAAGAGGAGAGUGGAAUUCCACGUGUAGCGGUGAAAUGCGUAGAGAUGUGGAGGAACACCAGUGGCGAAGGCGACUCUCUGGUCUGUAACUGACGCUGAGGAGCGAAAGCGUGGGGAGCGAACAGGAUUAGAUACCCUGGUAGUCCACGCCGUAAACGAUGAGUGCUAAGUGUUAGGGGGUUUCCGCCCCUUAGUGCUGCAGCUAACGCAUUAAGCACUCCGCCUGGGGAGUACGGUCGCAAGACUGAAACUCAAAGGAAUUGACGGGGGCCCGCACAAGCGGUGGAGCAUGUGGUUUAAUUCGAAGCAACGCGAAGAACCUUACCAGGUCUUGACAUCCUCUGACGACCCUAGAGAUAGGGCUUUCCCUUCGGGGACAGAGUGACAGGUGGUGCAUGGUUGUCGUCAGCUCGUGUCGUGAGAUGUUGGGUUAAGUCCCGCAACGAGCGCAACCCUUGAUCUUAGUUGCCAGCAUUUAGUUGGGCACUCUAAGGUGACUGCCGGUGACAAACCGGAGGAAGGUGGGGAUGACGUCAAAUCAUCAUGCCCCUUAUGACCUGGGCUACACACGUGCUACAAUGGACAGAACAAAGGGCUGCAAGACCGCAAGGGUUAGCCAAUCCCAUAAAUCUGUUCUCAGUUCGGAUCGCAGUCUGC
rnacentral:rRNA from 1 species